GCAAGGUUCAAUGGUAGAAUUCUCACCUUCCAUGUGGGAGACCUGGAUUCGAUUCCCAGCCGGUGCA
rnacentral:tRNA from 1 species